rnacentral:rRNA from 1 species
UGUAGGGGCUUGACGGUACCGUAAGAAUAAGGAUCGGCUAACUCCGUGCCAGCAGCCGCGGUAAUACGGAGGAUCCGAGCGUUAUCCGGAAUCAUUGGGUUUAAAGGGUCCGUAGGCGGCCCUGUAAGUCAGCGGUGAAAUCUCCCGGCUCAACCGGGAAACUGCCGUUGAUACUGCAGGGCUUGAAUUGCCGGGAAGUAACUAGAAUAUGUAGUGUAGCGGUGAAAUGCUUAGAUAUUACAUGGAAUACCGAUUGCGAAGGCAGGUUACUACCGGCGUAUUGACGCUGAUGGACGAAAGCGUGGGGAGCGAACAGGAUUAGAUACCCUGGUAGUCCACGCCGUAAACGAUGGAUACUAGCUGUCCGGCGCAAGCUGGGUGGCUAAGCGAAAGUGAUAAGUAUCCCACCUGGGGAGUACGAACGCAAGUUUGAAACUCAAG